rnacentral:rRNA from 1 species
GACGAACGCUGGCGGCGUGCUUAACACAUGCAAGUCGAACGGAAAGGCCCUGCUUUUGUGGGGUGCUCGAGUGGCGAACGGGUGAGUAACACGUGAGUAACCUGCCCUUGACUUUGGGAUAACUUCAGGAAACUGGGGCUAAUACCGGCUAGGAGCUCCUGCUGCAUGGUGGGGGUUGGAACGUUUCGGCGGUUGGGGAUGGACUCGCGGCUUAUCAGCUUGUUGGUGGGGUAGUGGCUUACCAAGGCUUCGACGGGUAGCCGGCCUGGGAGGGUGACCGGCCACAUUGGGACUGAGAUACGGAGCAGACUCCUACGGGAGGCAGCAGGGGGGAAUAUUGCACAAUGGGCGGAAGCCUGAUGCAGCAACGCCGCGUGCGGGAUGACGGCCUUCGGGUUGUAAACCGCUGUCGCCUGUGACGAAGCGUGAGUGACGGUAAUGGGUAAAGAAGCACCGGCUAACUACGUG